rnacentral:rRNA from 1 species
GACGAACGCUGGCGGCGUGCUUAACACACGCAAGUCGAACGGAAAGGCCUCAGCUUGCUGGGGUACUCGAGUGGCGAACGGGUGAGUAACACGUGGGUGAUCUGCCUUGCACUCUGGGAUAAGCUUGGGAAACUGGGUCUAAUACCGGAUAUGAACUGCCUUUAGUGUGGUGGUUGGAAAGUUUUUUCGGUGCAAGAUGAGCUCGCGGCCUAUCAGCUUGUUGGUGGGGUAAUGGCCUACCAAGGCGUCGACGGGUAGCCGGCCUGAGAGGGUGUACGGCCACAUUGGGACUUAGAUACGGCCCAGACUCCUACGGGAGGCAGCAGUGGGGAAUAUUGCACAAUGGGCGGAAGCCUGAUGCAGCGACGCCGCGUGGGGGAUGACGGCCUUCGGGUUGUAAACUCCUUUCGACAGGGACGAAGCUUUUUGUGACGGUACCUGUAGAAGAAGCACCGGCUAACUACGUG